GAAGAGAGUUUCAUAGAGUCUUUCAUAAAUCAUAGAAAGUCCUCUAGAAAAAAUCCUCAUCUUAAGAGAAAGAUUGGUUCUACAUCUUUCUUAAAGUAGAGAAAAAGUUCUAGUUCUUGUCAUGUCCGUUUAAGCUUUUAGUUAGAGUGUUGUAAUAUAUGAGUGUUGUAAUCUUUUUAAAUUAAAUAAAAGUUUCUUCUGAAGGAAAUGUUAUCCUCUCGAAUCUUAUAUCUCAAAUGAGCUAUCUAUCUAUUUAAGAGUUCCAUCAUAAACACAAUAUAGAUUGAUUGAUUGAUUAGAGACUACGAUCUAAAGUAGGAAACGAAUUAGACAAGUGUUGUACCUGAUCUAAGGAAGACAAGGUUGGGAUUAGCUAUCUUGGUAAAGCAGGAAGCUAAGAACGCAGGUUCCAUUGUUGACUAAGUUCAGGACUCUGGCUGUCGGACAAUAUAUAUGUGAUCACCUCGUACAUCAACCCUGAACACAUCCUGAUUCCUGUGCCAAGUCCAUAAUGCAUGCGUAGUAUUCAAGACCUGCAUCAGAUAAUGAUACAAUUUGGUUUAAACUUUCGGCAUUUACAGACACAUACACAGUGCCACACUAAUCAGAAAAGAAAAACUCACACAGAAAGUCAUUUGCAAAGACAAUAUUCUGUCAAAUGAGAAACCAUGCAGCAGCUAUGCAUAAAUAAGGAUGAGUUCAUCGGUACCAGGUUACAUUUCAAGCCAGAAAAUUCCAUUCUAGUCAAAGAUAUUUCUUAAUUGACUUGCAGACCCACCUCAAGUAUUCCGUGUCCAAAGCUGCUCUCCCUGAAUGCACUCCACUCAGGCUGUGUAUCCCAGCAAAAUUUUCCCUUUGCAGGACCUGAAGAAAAAUUUAAAUGGCACACUGGACCAAUUUCAGGUACGUUGUCACCGGGCUUUGGGCACUUCCCUGAGUCAUCAGCGUGAUCAACAUCAACUUUCUCGAUAUUCCCUCCAUCUCCAACUGUUAUGUAAACAGGACCACACGGAUCCAAUGUGUAAUCAUAAACACGAUUCAUCCGCUCCUAUGCAUGAACCUGAAAAUACGAAAUUUAGUUAGGAUGUCAAUAGUUAAGACUUUGUAUUUUGUACUAAAUUUGGUUCCUGAUGUUGCUUGAUGUCUUCCCAAGUUAGCCAGUA